AUUGAAAAGACGGGGAGAGCACAAUCGUCAUCACAUCAUCCCGGGAAAGCAAGAAUAACAGACCCCGUGUUCUGAUGUUCAUCUUCUCCUUUUGAUUUCCCGCAAUGGAUCAGGGUUUUACUGGCAACGAAUCGUUAAUUGUUCGUGUUCAACAAUUGGAGCAAGAACGUAAUGAAUUGUACAAAGAUAUCGAACAGUUGUGUAUGCAACAAGCAGGACCCGCCUAUCUUGGAAUUGCAACUCGAAUGCAUUUUCAGAGGUGCGGGCAAAUGUUAAAUGA